GACGAACCGUGCGAACGUUAUUCGGAAUCACUGGGCUUAAAGCGCGUGUAGGCGGGACGGCACGUCGGUCGCUGAAAUCCCCCGGCUUAACCGGGGAACUGGCGUCGAUACGACCGCCCUGGAGGGGCGUAGGGGGACCUGGAACUUCCGGUGGAGCGGUGAAAUGCGCAGAUAUCGGGAAGAACACCCGUGGCGAAGGCGGCUCUCUGGGACGGUACUGACGCUGAGACGCGAAAGCGUGGGGAGCGAACAGG
rnacentral:rRNA from 1 species